UUCCAACAUGUGAACAAGUCAUACCUAGAUCUCAGAUGUUACCUAGGGCAAAUUAGAUAAUAUUUUAAACAUCCAGGCUUAAGGUAGCAUUUUAUACCUAUGUUUCCUUGACGGACUACUUUUACUGGGCUUUGACCCACAUAUUUUUGUGUAAUACUAUCUUGAUGGUUAAGCAUGUACAUUGCACGUAAGCACUGAUGAUGACUGGUAAACCAGUCGAAAACUAGUUAUGUGAAUUUGAUGUGGCCCUUUUGAGGGUUUUUUAAAUAUACCUUUUAUACAGGAUUUAUUGUUUUUUGUAUCACAUGGUAUACAGCCAACUACAGGAAAACUUUUUCCUUGUGGAUUUUUAACUUAUCAAACUUAAAUUAAAAAGAAUUAGAUAUAUAAUGUUUUAACUGCAUAAAUGUCAUGUGAAUGAAGUUGUUUCUGCUAACGACUUUAUUUAUUAGAUUACAAGUAUGUAGGUAAUUAUAGUUUACAAUAAUUAUAAUGCAUAACAUUUUAAGUGACACUUUAAGCCUGUAAGCACUCACACUUUAAUUUAAAACGAAAUAAAAUGUAUUUAAUUAAGGAAUGGUAAUGUACAUACAUCAAUGUUAUAACACUUGAGUCUAAUCUAAA